CUAAAUGUAAAUUCAAGCAUACCACAAUAUAUUCGUCAAAACCGCAUCCAACUCGGAUCAGCCGUUUCUGAGAUUAGCGCGCAUAGACACACAGACAAACAGACAAACAGACAAAAAAAAAGUUAAUUACAUUUUUGGGUUCGACAUCGACAUAACAAUAACCCCUGCUAUUUUUUUUAUUUUUAUUUUCAAUGUACAGACAGCACUUUUCUACGAUUUUAUUAUAUGUAUAGAUAUAUUUUUAUUUUUUGAUUUUCCACGACAGUACCGAAUCGCUCGGCCCAUACCCAACCAAAUGAGUGUAACGAAACCAUAGCGCGAUCUAUUUCGAUCCCAACGACAACUCGGAUUAUUUAUCUAUACUCCGUUCGGGCAUUUUCUUUGUACUAAAAGUUUAAUUAUAUUGAUAUUAUUUUUUUCAUACCUUUUUACUAUUUAUUUACUUUUUUUCGAUGAAUUAAAACAAUAACAUGAACCGAAGUCGUGUAACGAUCGACAUAGAAUUAUCUAUACUCCGUUAGAGCAUUUUCUUUGUACUAAAUGUUUUAUUAUAUUGAUAUUAUUUUUUUCAUACCUUUUUACUAUUUAUUUACUUUUUUUCGAUAAAUUAAAACAAUAACAUGAACCGAAGUCGUGUAACGAUCGACAUAGAAUUAUUUAUAAAUAAUUUAUUUCUUAUUUUUAUUUUUUGAUUUUUGAAAUAAAAAUAUAUCUAUGUCUUUUCUAAGGUUCUAAACUAUAUCUGUACCAAAUUUCAACCAAAUCCGUCAAAUAGUUGCGGAGAUUAAUGGUAUAAGCAUAGAAUGUUCGACGUGAUUCUUUAAUUUGACAUAACUUUUUUAUUUAUGAACCGAUUGACAUGAAACAAACACUAAAUGUAAAUUUAAGCAUCCCACAAUAUAUUCGUGAAAACCGCAUCCAACUCCGAUCAGCCGUUUCUGAGAUUAGCGCGCACAGACGAACAGACAAACAGACAAACAGACAAA